GCAGACGUGGCGUAAUGGAUUAGCGCAUCGGAUUUCUAAUCCGACGGUUAAGGGUUCGAGUCCCUUCGUCUGCA
rnacentral:tRNA from 1 species